GUCUACGGCCAUGCCACCCUGAAUAAGCCUGAUCCCAUCUGAUCUCGGAAGCUAAGCAGGGUCGGGCCUGGUUAGUACUUGGAUGGGAGACUGCCUAAGAAGACCACGUGCAGUAGGUA
rnacentral:rRNA from 1 species